GAAGGAUCAUUACCGAGUGCGGGUCCUUCGGGGCCCAACCUCCCACCCGUGUCUACCGUACCGUGUUGCUUCGGCGGGCCCGCCGCAAGGCCGCCGGGGGGGCGUCCCCCCGGCCCGUGCCCGCCGGAGACCCUGUGAACGCUGAUCUGUGAAGGCGUGUCGUCUGAGUCGCGUGAGAAAUCGUGAAAACUUUCAACAACGGAUCUCUUGGUUCCGGCAUCGAUGAAGAACGCAGCGAAAUGCGAUAAGUAAUGUGAGUUGCAGAAUUCCGUGAAUCAUCGAAUCUUUGAACGCACAUUGCGCCCUCUGGUAUUCCGGGGGGCAUGCCUGUCCGAGCGUCAUUGCUGCCCUCAAGCACGGCUUGUGUGUUGGGCCGCCGUCCCCGCCCUCCGCGGGGGGACGGGCCCGAAAGGCAGCGGCGGCGCCGCGUCCGGUCCUCGAGCGUAUGGGGCUCUGUCACCCGCUCUGCAGGCCCGGCCGGCGCCCGCCGAGUCAACCACUUCUUUCCAGGUUGACCUCGGAUCAGGUAGGGAUACCCGCUGAACUUA
rnacentral:rRNA from 1 species